rnacentral:lncRNA from 1 species
GAGGAGUCGCGCUGCCGCUGCUCUCCACCUCCGUGCCGGCGGGCUGCUGCAGAGCUGCUAAACAGCUGCUAGCGCCAGCGGCGGAAAAAGGGAGGCCUUCAAGUCAAAUUUAAGUGAUUUCUCUUUUAGCAGGGCUCUAUUUCUCUGCUGUAAUUAGAAUUUCUUUUGUUUGUUUAUUAUACAGUACCCUGGGAGCAAGAAGCAAUGCACUUAGAUGAUGAUGAUGAUGAUGGAAAACAAGCACUAUAUAAAAAUCAGUUACGGCUACCGAUUAAGCCUCCAUGUCUCUGGAGCUGAGGCAUGUAAUGCAAGAGCAGCUAAAUACCGAGGGGAAUAGAGUCAUUACAGAGAGCACUAAAGGACAGCGCUAUCUACGAACAUGUUGUUAACACGGUCCAGCGGGAUUUUGCUUAACACUGUCUGAGACUGGCAGCGGCAGGGAAGCGUCUGGAGCACGGUGUGUAAUUCCAGCCUCCGCAGCGCCUAAACGUCGCCGAUAACGGGGCAUGCACUGUCCACACCCUGGCAGCUCUUUCUUUUAUAGCCUUCACUCAGACUUGUUUCUACAGACCCAUACGGCUGAAGCGUGGGGAGAUUCCCAACGAACCCAGUGGUUGGGCCCUUUUCAGGCUGGGAAGGUGCCAGGAGGGCAAAGAGAAACCGGGAAACGCUGCUGUGUAGCUUUGAAAAAUGUGGUGGUGCGCGCUACAGAACUAGCUCUAGCUGGGAUGCCGCAGGCACUCGGACGGGACCCGCUGGAGAUGCUGCGCUGGGCUCCUACCACCCAAAUCCGACCUCUGCAGGAGGAGGGAGCCUACCUGCGAGGGUGGCCCUGGUCGUCGGGCCGCUGUCGCGGGGCACCAGCACUUCGUGGUACUGCUCCCCGGCCAGGGUGCUGUAGACCACGCGGUAGCCGUGCACCUCGGCCUCGCUGUUGUCCCAGGCGAGCUCGAGGCUGGCCGCCGUCCGGGCGCCCACGCGCAGGUUCUUGGGGGCGUCGAUCUCUGCGCGACACAAGGGACAGAGGGACCGGCUCAGCGUGGCCGCGGCCGAGCCCAGCUCCCGUGGCGAGGAGCCGCCAAGGGCUUCAUCAGGGUUGAUGCGACGCCGGUGCAGUCACAGCAUCCCUCAGUGAGUUGCUCCUGGAGCUAAUGGCGUGUUAUUUAUAGAAGAAAAGCAUUAUUUCUUCCUGUUUUGCAGUGAGGGAAACUGAGGCACUGUGUGUAAGAGGGAAAAAAGGGCUCUGCAGCAGUCAAGCAUUGAACGGAGCUGCUGUGAAUUUUGAUGGGGUAGCUUGGGAGACCUUGAGCUUCUUUAUGGACUCAUUCGUGUUCAGAGGUUGCUCAGACUGACGCUGCR